rnacentral:rRNA from 1 species
GACGAACGCUGGCGGCGUGCUUAACACAUGCAAGUCGAACGGAAAGGCCCUGCUUUUGUGGGGUGCUCGAGUGGCGAACGGGUGAGUAACACGUGAGUAACCUGCCCUUGACUUUGGGAUAACUUCAGGAAACUGGGGCUAAUACCGGAUAGGAGCUCCUGCUGCACGGUGGGGGUUGGAAAGUUUCGGCGGUUGGGGAUGGACUCGCGGCUUAUCAGCUUGUUGGUGGGGUAGUGGCUUACCAAGGCUUUGACGGGUAGCCGGCCUGAGAGGGUGACCGGCCACAUUGGGACUGAGAUACGGCCCAGACUCCUACGGGAGGCAGCGGUGGGGAAUAUUGCACAAUGGGCGGAAGCCUGAUGCAGCAGCGCCGCGUGCGUGAUGACGGCCUUCGGGUUGUAAACCGCUUUCGCCUGUGACGAAGCGUGAGUGACGGUAAUGGGUAAAGAAGCACCGGCUAACUACGUG